AACGAUGAAGUCUAGCUUGCUAGACGGAUUAGUGGCGAACGGGUGAGUAAUAUAUCGGAACGUAUCCAAUAAUGGGGGAUAACUAAUCGAAAGGUUGGCUAAUACCGCAUACGCCCUGAGGGGGAAAGCUAGGGAUCUUCGGACCUGGCGUUAAUGGAGCGGCCGAUAUCUGAUUAGCUAGUUGGUGAGGUAAAGGCUCACCAAGGCGACGAUCAGUAGCUGGUCUGAGAGGACGACCAGCCACACUGGAACUGAGACACGGUCCAGACUCCUACGGGAGGCAGCAGUGGGGAAUUUUGGACAAUGGGCGAAAGCCUGAUCCAGCCAUUCCGCGUGAGUGAAGAAGGCCUUCGGGUUGUAAAGCUCUUUCGCAAGGGAAGAAAACUUAGGCUCUAACAUAGUCUGAGGCUGACGGUACCUUGAUAAGAAGCACCGGCUAACUACGUGCCAGCAGCCGCGGUAAUACGUAGGGUGCGAGCGUUAAUCGGAAUUACUGGGCGUAAAGCGUGCGCAGGCGGUUUGAAAAGUCAGAUGUGAAAUCCCCGGGCUCAACCUGGGAACUGCGUUUGAAACUCUCAAGCUAGAGUAUGGGAGAGGGGGGUAGAAUUCCACGUGUAGCAGUGAAAUGCGUAGAGAUGUGGAGGAAUACCAAUGGCGAAGGCAGCCCCCUGGCCUAAUACUGACGCUCAUGCACGAAAGCGUGGGGAGCAAACAGGAUUAGAUACCCUGGUAGUCCACGCCCUAAACGAUGUCUACUAGUUGUUGGUGGAGUAAAAUCCAUUAGUAACGCAGCUAACGCGUGAAGUAGACC
rnacentral:rRNA from 1 species